AUCAUGUCCAAGAACAUUCUCGAGAUCCGCUUCAGUCCAGCCACGUUUUGUCCGCGCACCGUUUGCGCAUUUCGAGAACAUGCCGUGUGUUCUCUGAAUCGUGUGAGGUGCUGAAGCGUGAGAAUGGGCUUAAACGCCGUUAGUGGUUCGCAGAUUCACGCUCUUUCCUCUCCGCCCGGCGGCGAUUGCAAAUUCAUCACCGCCAGCGACAAACAAUUAUCACCGGCGGCGAAUGGCAUUAAUUGGAACAACGAAACAAGAUGAAAUGCAAAUUUCAGACAAGGUCUCUAUCAGGAAGCUGUCUACAUCUCAUCCUCGAAGAGGAACACAGAGAGUCCGAAAGAUUUAUACAAGCCAUACCCAUGUAGAAACCCGAAAAUUGAAGUCAAAGGCUUCAUCACAAGCUGAUACCAAUUUGGCGACAUCCACCGCAAGGAUUCUACCUUCUAUUUUUGGCAAUUCUUCGGCUUCGACCUAGUUGACCUCUGAGCCUAUUUCCGAUCGAACAGCACAUUGUUCUAUUCGGCCCUCGAAUGGGAAACAGCCCUCGAAGAAAGCUCAUCCCUCACCGACUUUUUCAGAAGAUGUGCGGGGAAAAGAGAAUCAGUCCUGUACCCCAGUGAAGAGGCCCCCCCAUUGUCCCCAUUGAGAAUAGAUCAGUAGAGAAGCGUUUGGAUCCUCUGAAGCUACAGCUAGAAUGUGGAGCCAUAGAACAAGACACAGAAGAACAGAGCACAUCAGUUGUUCUUGAAGAAACAACACCAAAAGGAGGGAGCGUGAUGAUUGUUUGUCGCCGGCGGUGAUGAUUUUACAGUCGCCGCCGGGCGGAGAGGAGAGAGCGUGAAUCUACGACAGAAGAGGAGAGGAAUGGAGAGAGCGUAAGUCUACCACACCACUAACGGGGUUUAAGCCCAUUCGCACGCUUCAGCACCUCACACGAUUCGGACACGCGGCGCAUCUGCUGAAUACGUGAACAGUGCACGGACAAAACGUGCUUGGAUUGAAGCCGAACUCAACAUUCUCAACUGCCAAUGUUUUCUCCUCAGAUCAUAGGUCUAAGCCUGGUUUGGGCCUAGCACUGCCCAGAUAUGGGCCACAUGGCUAAACUUGGGCUAAUCCAAGGGAUCUCUAACUUAAAUUGACCCAAAACUUGUAUGUAAGGCUAUGUUUGUUUUUUUAUAAAAUGGGCAUAAAUAUUUAUAAAUAGAAAUACUAUGGUAAAAGCUUUGAUUUUUGA